GAGCAAAGUCGUCUAAAUUAUUAAUGACGUGACAUUUGCAUUGAAGGUUGGCAAUAAUAAAAACCGAUUCUCCGUGCCUAUCAUAAUUUCAGUUUUGAAUAAGGCCUCGAACAAGUCGUGACAUU